rnacentral:rRNA from 1 species
UACGUAGGGUGCGAGCGUUGUCCGGAAUUACUGGGCGUAAAGAGCUCGUAGGUGGUUUGUCGCGUUGUUCGUGAAAACCGGGGGCUUAACCCUCGGCGUGCGGGCGAUACGGGCAGACUUGAGUACUGCAGGGGAGACUGGAAUUCCUGGUGUAGCGGUGAAAUGCGCAGAUAUCAGGAGGAACACCGGUGGCGAAGGCGGGUCUCUGGGCGAUACUGACGCUGAGGAGCGAAAGCGUGGGGAGCGAACAGG